AUGGAUAAGAAUUACCGGGAUCGAAAAGCGGCAGUCUUCUUUAGAGGGGUGGCACACGGUUUUGUUUCCAAUUUGCGGUGGUGGUCUGAAUGUGGCACGGCUUCGAUCGACGAGAGGGUGGACUUCAAGAUCCAAAACAUAGUGCAAUGGCUGCAUAAUUCUCUUCUCUCGCUUUUGAAUCUUUCCGCCUCGAUCUGUUUAAAAUUAUUAUUUCCUUUGAAGAUUUGUUAA